GGGAGUGUUUACAGGAGGGAGCUCAAGUGUGUUGUGGAACAAAAUUAACGCCUCUAUAAAAAGAAGAAAUCAAAGAGGCGCUCCUCAGAGAAGCGUCCUCUCGCAAAUCGAAGAGUCGGGGCUCCUUUCUCAAAAGCCGGAUUCUUUUCUCAAAAGAGGCGUUUCAUUUCUUAAAGGCUGGGCUUGCUCAGAAACCACGAGCCGAACCCCGGAUUUCAAAAGAUCAAUUUGUCCUGACGUGUCGUCACUUAUCACACGCAAAUUGCUUUGCGAAAUUCUCGGGCAGUUUGUCGAAGCACCAAUUCAGAAAUCGAAGAGGGAAAUUCAACAGUCAAAGACACGCUAGCUUUCUCAAAAGCUGGGCUUCAACCCACGGGCAAAUCUUCUUUUCCAGAUUUAUCCGCACGUGUCACAUGCUACCUCUACAAUCGACGAUGCUCAGAGCUCGAAGCGCCGAUUCCAGAUAUCAAUGAGGAAUCUGCUUUGCGAAAAUUACGGGCAGCUUUGUCAGAAAGCGCGUAAUUUGUACUAUUCAUUCAUCCACCGGCUGCCGACAAUACUUGAGAGAAUAGUUCCGGUUGUGAAGACAAGUCCUAUAAGUAUCUACCUUCGCCUUUCACAGCAAAAACACACCCUCUUAACACUUCUUCAUCUCCGAAAAUGCAUUCUCAAAGAAUCCUCCUAAGUUACUCCGUGUUCCUCAUUCCCUGGGAUACCCCUGCAAACAACCCAUCCAGAGCAAAAGUAUUUCAUAUCAUAAUGGUUGAAAGCAAG
rnacentral:lncRNA from 1 species